CAUAAAAAUAAUAAAUUUUAAAUAAAUUUAUUAAAAAUUUUAAUUCGCAGUUUAUAAAUUUUAAAAUUUAAGAAAUUAUGAUUAAGAAAUUUAUUUAAAUAUUAACAAAAUUUGUGCCAGCAGUUGCGGUUAUACAAAUAAUAUAAAUUAUACAUAUUAAUUAAUAAUUAAUUGAUUUAUAUAUAAUAAAAUUUUAUAAUUAUUAAGUGAAAUUUUAAUUAUAAUAAAAGUUUAUAAUAAAUAAUAUGAAGUUAUUAAAUUUUAAAUUUAAACUAGGAUUAGAUACCCUAUUAUUUUAAAUGUAAAUAAUUAUAUUAAAUUAGUAUUAGUUAUGUUCUUUAAAAUUAAAGAUUUUGGCGGUAUUUUAGUCUUUUCAGAGGAACCUGUUCUAUAAUCGAUAAUCCACGAUUAAUUAUACUUAUAUUAUUAAAUUUAUAUAUCGUCGUAGUUUGAAUAUUUUAUUAGAAAUUUUAAUAUUCAAGAUUUAUUACUAUAAAAAAAAUCAGAUCAAGGUAUAGUUUAUAUAUAAGAAGAAAUGGGUUACAAUAAAUUAAUUUUUGGUUUAAAAUUUGAAAAAAUUUUUAUUAAAUUGGAUUUGAUAGUAAUAAAAUUUAAUUUAAUUUUAUGAUUAAAGCUCUAAAAUAUGUACAUAUUGCCCGUCGCUUUCAUAUAAAAUGAGAUAAGUCGUAACAAAGUAGAUGUACUGGAAAGUGUAUCUAGAAUUAC
rnacentral:ncRNA from 1 species